UACGUAGGGGGCAAGCGUUGUCCGGAUUUAUUGGGCGUAAAGAGCUCGUAGGUGGUUCGGUAAGUCGGAUGUGAAAUCUCCAGGCUCAACCUGGAGGGGUCAUUCGAUACUGCCGUGACUAGAGGUCGGUAGGGGAGUGUGGAAUUCCUGGUGGAGCGGUGAAAUGCGCAGAUAUCAGGAGGAACACCCGUAGCGAAGGCAGCUACCUGGACCAACACUGACACUGAGGCACGAAAGCGUGGGGAGCAAACAGG
rnacentral:rRNA from 1 species